UACUGGAUAGCCAGCUACCUCCAAAUUGACUCGAAUAAUUUUAUACUUGAUUUCUGCAUGCGUGAGAUAUGCAUGCUUUUUUUAUCGCAAUAGUAACUAUGGGGUGACUCCAAGCGAAUGUUUGCCGUCUGCGACGCCGUGAGGCUCCAAAUAUAUAUUUAGGCAUAGACCGUUUUAUCGGCGAGGAGGAACGCAGCCUCGAACCAGCGCCCUCCGCCGCUCUCCUCCUCCCACCGGUAUGUGCGGAUUCCGUUUUCGCCCAGCGGCAGCUUGGAAAGGUAGCGGUCUAAUUCGCGAUUAGUGCGAUUUUAACGUGUCUUGAUUGGAAUUUCUGCGAUGUCAGAUGACACAAGGUCGACAAGCUACCACUCUGCUGUGUUCGGCUGCAAAAAUAACUUUCGGAAGCAAGCGUGAAAUGCAUCUUCAGCCGCGGCAACUUCGUGGACACCGCCGCUGCGAUAGCAGAGAAGUGUCCGCUUUGUAUUGCCGGAAUACACAGAAAGGACUUGAUGCCAUCGCGUGUGUGUUCGGAAGGUUUUGUUCCCAGUGAGCGCUCGGCGACGAACUCGGAAUUCGGCGCCCAUCAUCACAUUGGGAAAUGAAAGAAAGGUCCAUGGAUCCUGCGCGCUGCAGCUGCGAGCUCCAGGCCAUCACGUCAACCCGCGCGUGCUCGGAGACGGUGGAGCGGCGGCCUGCCAGCCUGGACGAUGGGGGCGCCUGCAGGCGGCGCCACAGCGACCCCAGGGAGCCGAACAAGGUGCGCAGCAGACGGCCAAUCUUGGACAGCCAGCGGCCGUGUCGCGGCGGCAGGCUGCACUCCUCGCGCGCUGUCUGCAGCUCGAUCUCCACGAACGGGUCCAGGUCCGCGGCAUCCUCCAGGAUCAUGGCUACAGCCGCCGCCCUUCGGCCCGCUCACGCCAUGCCAGGAUGAUAAUGUCCAUCACCAUCUGAAUGUUGAUGAACGCCGAGAAUGUUUCGGCAAAAGACGAUGGCAUGGAGAGUUCCUGUCAUUUGGUUUCAUGACAAUGCGCCCUUUUCAUUUUUCUUCACAAGGAACAGGCUGACGAUGUGUCCAAUCUCUUCCUUUUAGAGCGUUAGCUUUUCUUUGUUUGUUGCUCACUCUAACACCGUUAGCCCCGUACACAGCGAGACAGUUGAGCGAGAGAGGCGCCAAAAGGUGUCUGCCAUGCAUCCGUAGUUAUGCCGUCGUGGUUGCUCUAUCGUCGUCAUUGCAGCUUCUUCAUCUGAUUCGCAUCAUGCCGUCGCCGUGCUAUACGCCUGCCACUCCAGCACGUGCCCUCUUCGUCAUGUAGUCCUUGUCGUUCCAGCUUCGUCAACUGAUUCUCGUCACGUCGUCGUCGUUGUACAGUCGCCGUCACGCCAUCAUCGUGAUACACUCGUCGUCAUCAAAUUGUGGUCAUGCCAUCGUCAUUAUAUACAGCCUUUGUCGUUUCAGUAAUGUCAUCCCUUCUCCGUCAUUUCACCGUAAUCCUGCUGUCGUCAUUCAGUCGUGAUUAUCGCGCCCUUGUCAUGCUAUCACCGUCAUGCAGUCGUCGUCAUGCACGCGUUAUCUUACGUUCCGUUGUCGUCUUGCCAGCUCCUGGUCCAAUUCUCGUCACACAGUCGUCGUCAUACACCGUCGUCACACAGUCAGCGUAAACGCAUUGUCAUCGUGCCGUCGUCUCCACGCUGUUGCCAACCGUUACAUCAUCGUCAUCUCAGAAUCGUAACCUCUAUUGUCGCCAUGCCGUCGACGCGUCGGCUGCACCAGUAUUGCGGCGAGCAUUCGAGUAUGGGAGAGUAAUCAACGACAAAAAGCAUUUACACUCAAAUAUCAUCGAGGAAGCAGGACCUUCAAACCAAGGUGUCAACCGGAAAAGCUUUCGGGUUUAGUUUUGGUUCAGGUUGCAGACGUCUGUAUAUUGUCACAAACCUUCAGAAGACUCUUGGGGUUUUAAUAAACCUCAGAGCAGCGGGCUCUUGAAAAACGCGUCCGUCGGGGUUGGCUCGCGAGCAGGGAAGGCGCGCGGCCUUCCUUGUUCUUCAGGGCUCGACCCACUCUUGCCCUCGACCCACUACCUACAUGUGGAAUUAUCCCCCCUUACGAUCAAAAGCGUCGUCUCGAUGCGGCAAAAUAAGCGUAAGCAAUAAAAACAAAACAAGCAAACUAAAAAAAUAACACAACGCCGACAAAGCGAGAGUACGAAAAAAGAAACCUGCCGCGGCACAGUCAAUGAACAGAGAGGCAAGCUCACGAAGAUAGAUGAAAAGCAGAAACAAACAAAGGUGAAUGAGAGAAAACAAAUUAUGAACGCGCAGUGCACGGCUUCAUGUGCACAACGUGAACUAUUUCCGAG